CAACUGAAGUCGGUGUUUACU
rnacentral:miRNA from 1 species